GUCUCCGAAACGGGAGGGUGCCUGAAGAAUCCUCCUGUGUUUACCCAAGAGCAGGGAAGUCUUACCGACAAACCACAGUUCCAGAGUCCUCCUCACUGAGCAGGAAGCCCAAGGGCUGAGGCGGCCGCACAAUGAUGGGAGGGGCUCUCUGGCUUUGCAAGGGCAGGUGUCCUCCUGCUGACAGUGUGGAGGGUGGUGGCAGGGACCACUGGUUCGUGGUUGGCUCGGGGAGAAAGGAGGAAGGAGAAUGAGGUCAAGGGGAGACUCUGCACCCCAGAGACGGCUUUGUCCACCUGCAAAAUUAAAAACUCACAUCCCUGCAGUUCUCUUGUGGUGCCACGGGUGAAGGAUCUGGUGCUGUCCCUGCAGUGGCUUGGGUUGCUGCUGUGGUUCGAGUUUGAUCCCUGGCUUGGGGAGUUCUGCAGGCUGUGAGUGCGGCCAAAAAGGAAGAAAAGUCCACACCCAUGAAUGCUUAUUCGACUCUGGGCAAGGGAGAGCCGCUGGGCACAGUGAUGUGAGCCACAGGGAAAAGCCAGCAGGGGACCGGGGCUCAGAGGAUAAAGUGGGGGCAGGAUGGGAGCAGUGAGGCAGUGAGGCACAGUCCUGGAGAGAGCGAGAGAUGUGGCAGCCAAGCUCCCUGGAAGAUGCUAGAAUCCAGGCUCUGGAACCGCAGUGUGGUUGGCGGGCAGUGGUGCCUCCCCUGGGCCUCAUUAGAGUUACCUGGGGACUUUGCUCUGAUGUUGGGCCCUUUUCCAAGUGAGUCUGUGUAAUCGGCUUGGGCUUUGGCCCAGGUGAUUCUCAUGUGCCAGCUGCUUAUGAAGGAAGGGGCAGUGCCUCCUGCGGAGGUGGCGGGAGAGGAGGCUGACGGGAAACCGAAGGAGAGUCCUACAUGUAUCAUUUGUUUUUCCAGCUCUUUCAACCACAUUUCUCAGCCUCUGAAAUGCAGCAACUGCCCUGGAAGACUCGAGGUGACUGUGCAAGGAGGAGCUGCAGACGGCGUGCCUUGUGGGUCUGGAGGCAGGACUGGAGCCCCAGAGCAGGUGCGGCCGUAAAAAGAAAAAAAGGUUCCCUGAGGGUGAUGCCUGAUGUGGCCCGCUGUCUGGGGUACAGGCUCCUAGUCCACCCCCAGAGGAAAGAAGAGAAAAGAAGAAAACAAGCCUCUUGGUCCCGCUUCGGCCCUGCUCUGUACUGUCCUCACGGGGUUACUUAGGUGAGUCCUGCCCUCCUUUCCUGCUAGACGGUGUGUCUCUAGGGAGGAUUCAGGCCUUUUCGUGCCAUCACUGUGCACGGUCCACCGGCCCCUUCCGGAUCCAUCCCAUCCGGGGAGCCUCUCACUCGGCCAGGGGGGUGAGUGGCGUUACCAGGACGCCGUCAUUUGGGAGAGGCGGCUUCAACGCCCCUCCUCAGGGGAGAGGCAGCAGUCGUUUCAGGUACCCGAAGCGGGCUUCGAAUCCUGGCUCUGUGGUCUUACGCAGGGUGCUUCACUUUCCCAAGCCUUGGUUUUCUCAUCUAUGGAAACAUGACAUUGACCUCGUCAAAGUCGGAUGAGGCUGGAGAGAGUCGUUGUGCGUCUAAGCCUCUCAGCACACGGCGCCUAUCGGAGGGCAAAACGCUCGGGGAUGCAGGGUCCUCUUGCCGUGAGCUGGGUCUUGCUCCCCCGUGAUCUCAUUCCUUAUUUAUUGAGCAGUUACUGUGCGCUAAGCCUGGUGCUACGCGCUCUGACCCUGGAAAGCUGCACAGAACGGUUGAGUGUGUUUCCUUCCUGGUUUAGGGGAGGAGGAAACGGAGCCCCAGGCAGUUUAGGUUCUUGACCGAGGUCACCCCACGGUGAAGUGACUCAGCCAGUAUUUAAAGCCACGUCUCGCUAACGUUUAUGAUGUGCUUCUCGCCAUCACGCGAAGGAGCCUUUCCUUAGGGCCUGAGCUCAGCUCUGGGUUCAAAAGGAGGCCUGAACGACCUUCCGGCCCUGCGCACGUUACCUGAGUUAACGGUGCCAGUCGGGUUGGCUCGCGAGCCAUCCAGGUGCGUGGAGGAAGCGGGAGUUACCGCUACGAAAGAAUCAGUGGUUAAGCCGCCAGGGCCUUCGUGCUCCGAGGUCUGUGUCAUUUCAGCCCUCGGCGAGGAAGCAGACGCCCACCGUACGCACAUCUGGGUCUACCUGCCUCCCGUGAAGCAAGCCCUCUGUUCCUGGUCUGAUUUCUGCAGCCUCAGUCAGACCCAGGCCACCUGCUCGGGAAUCUAGAAGACAGAGGAUGGAUAAACAACAAGCAGCUACUGUCGAGCACGGGGAAUCAUAGCCAACAUCCUGUAAUAAUAAGCCUUAAUGGAAAAGAAUAAACAAAGGAAAGUAUGUAUAUACUGAAUCA
ensembl:lncRNA